rnacentral:lncRNA from 1 species
UAGAGAUUUGUCGAAACCUGAAAAGAAGGAACAGAACAAAAACAAACAUCUCGGGGGUUAGUUAAAAUUUUCCUCUCUUUUUCUUGUUCUCGCUCACCAUCUUCCUUUUCUCUCAUUUCUUUUUCAACAUCUUUUUCCUUUUCAAUUUUUUUCUCAAUAUCAAUAUCAAUCUCAAUCUCAAAUUCUUUUUUCUUUUUCUUUUUCUCACUCUCAUUUUCUUUUUCUUUUAUUUCUUUUUCUUUUUCUCUCAUUUCUUUUUUUCUUCUCUCAAUUUCAUUCAAGAUUCGUUCAUUUUCUU